CACGGGGGGAGCAAGCGUUGUUCGGAAUCACUGGGCGUAAAGGGCAUGUAGGCGGUCAAGUAAGUGGAAUGUGAAAUGCCCCGGCUCACCCGGGGACCUGCAUCCCAAACUGCUUGGCUUGAGUAUGGGAGAGGAUGAGGGAAUUCCUGGUGUAGCGGUGAAAUGCGUAGAUAUCAGGAGGAACACCGGUGGCGAAAGCGCUCAUCUGGCCCAAUACUGACGCUGAGGCGCGAAAGCUAGGGGAGCAAACAGG
rnacentral:rRNA from 1 species